rnacentral:rRNA from 1 species
GAUGAACGCUGGCGGCGUGCCUAAUACAUGCAAGUCGAGCGAACGGACGAGAAGCUUGCUUCUCUGAUGUUAGCGGCGGACGGGUGAGUAACACGUGGAUAACCUACCUAUAAGACUGGGAUAACUUCGGGAAACCGGAGCUAAUACCGGAUAAUAUUUUGAACCGCAUGGUUCAAAAGUGAAAGACGGUCUUGCUGUCACUUAUAGAUGGAUCCGCGCUGCAUUAGCUAGUUGGUAAGGUAACGGCUUACCAAGGCAACGAUGCAUAGCCGACCUGAGAGGGUGAUCGGCCACACUGGAACUGAGACACGGUCCAGACUCCUACGGGAGGCAGCAGUAGGGAAUAUUCCGAAAUGGGCGAAAGCCUGACGGAGCAACGCCGCGUGAGUGAUGAAGGUCUUCGGAUCGUAAAACUCUGUUAUUAGGGAAGAACAUAUGUGUAAGUAACUGUGCACAUCUUGACGGUACCUAAUCAGAAAGCCACGGCUAACUACGUG